AACGCACGAGACCUGCGGACCUGCGGAGGGAUCAUUAACACUAUUUCAGGCCCGAAGUCUUCGGUCCGGGAGGGCUAACCCCCUGUCUGGCUGUUGGCGUUGGGACUGGAUGGAUCCAUAUCCAUUUUACCCCUGUGAAUUGUUAAAGUCUUUAUGAAGUGAACCACAAUAUAGCCUGUUUCGAACAGCCUGACCUGAAAAGGACCUGGUGGCUCUCUCUCCCGAAAGGGCGUGUGGGCU
rnacentral:misc_RNA from 1 species